UUAAGUCAGGCAACGAGCGAGACCCACGUCCACAGUUGCCAGCAUAUUCUCCGGAAUGAUGGGUACACUGUGGAGACCGCCGCUGCUAAAGCGGAGGAAGGAGUGGGCAACGGUAGGUCAGUAUGCCCCGAAUCUCCCGGGCUACACGCGGGCUACAAUGGUUGGUACAAUGGGCAUCUACCCCGAAAGGGGAAGGUAAUCUCUUAAAGCCAAUCGUAGUUCGGAUUGAGGGCUGCAACUCGCCCUCAUGAAGCUGGAAUCCGUAGUAAUCGCGUUUCAACAGAACGCGGUGAAUACGUCCCUGCUCCUUGCACA
rnacentral:rRNA from 1 species